UGAAUGCACUAGGGGCGCCAUUUGGCUGAGAUAGAUGAAUCUAGUCCCUUCGAACCUGUAUAGUUAAUACUUGCGAAGGAAAGUGUACGUGAACAUCA
rnacentral:ncRNA from 2 species